UACGUAGGCAGCAAGCGUUGUUCGGAAUCACUGGGCGUAAAGGGUGCGUAGGCGGGGCUUUAAGUCAGGGGUGAAAUCCUGGAGCUCAACUCCAGAACUGCCUUUGAUACUGAAGAUCUUGAGUUCGGGAGAGGUGAGUGGAACUGCGAGUGUAGAGGUGAAAUUCGUAGAUAUUCGCAAGAACACCAGUGGCGAAGGCGGCUCACUGGCCCGAUACUGACGCUGAGGCACGAAAGCGUGGGGAGCAAACAGG
rnacentral:rRNA from 1 species